UCCUGGUAGGUACACGGCUCCUGGUGUAGGUACAUGCUGCCCACCCAGGCAUCCAAUACGAUCAGUGUUCCGUCUCCGAGCGUCAGACAUCUACCGCCUGAUGUAUUAAAACAAGCCAAUAGGAAAACGCCAGAUGAGAGUCACGAAGCCCGUUGAUGCAGACAGCCAAUAAAGAGAAUGAAAACACGGUCGCCGUACUUAUGCAGACAUGCCAUUAUCAAUGGGCUUCAUACAACAGUGCACUGUGUCAGCCUGAUGUUAAGGCGCUCACGAGACCGGCUGGUACAAGAAGCAGUAAAGGAAGUACCGAGGCUCCCAACAACAGAG